GACGAACGCUGGCGGCGUGCUUAACACAUGCAAGUCGAACGGAAAGGCCCUGCUUUUGUGGGGUGCUCGAGUGGCGAACGGGUGAGUAACACGUGAGUAACCUGCCCUUGACUUUGGGAUAACUUCAGGAAACUGGGGCUAAUACCGGAUAGGAGCUCCUGCUGCAUGGUGGGGGUUGGAAAGUUUCGGCGGUUGGGGAUGGACUCGCGGCUUAUCAGCUUGUUGGUGGGGUAGUGGCUUACCAAGGCUUUGACGGGUAGCCGGCCUGAGAGGGUGACCGGCCACAUUGGGACUGAGAUACGGCCCAGACUCCUACGGGAGGCAGCAGUGGGGAAUAUUGCACAAUGGGCGGAAGCCUGAUGCAGCAACGCAGCGUGCGGGAUGACGGCCUUCGGGUUGUAAACCGCUUUCGCCUGUGACGAAGCGUGAGUGACGGUAAUGGGUAAAGAAGCACCGGCUAACUACGCG
rnacentral:rRNA from 1 species